rnacentral:rRNA from 2 species
AGCAGCCGCGGUAAUUCCAGCUCCAAUAGCGUAUAUUAAAGUUGUUGCAGUUAAAAAGCUCGUAGUUGAAUUUCGGGAUCAAUACGUCGGUCGUGCUUUCGGGUACGUACUGGCGUCAUUGGUUUCUCCUUUCUGACGAACCAUGAUGUCAUUAAUUUGGUGUUAUGGGGAGUUAGGACUGUUACUUUGAAAAAAUUAGAGUGUUUAAAGCAGGCAUUAGCUUGAAUACAUUAGCAUGGAAUAAUGAAAUAGGACGUUCGAUCCUAUUUUGUUGGUUUCUAGGAUCAACGUAAUGAUUAAUAGGGAUAGUUGGGGGCAUUAGUAUUCAAUUGUCAGAGGUGAAAUUCUUGGAUUUAUUGAAGACUAACUACUGCGAAAGCAUUUGCCAAGGAUGUUUUCAUUAAUCAAGAACGAAAGUUAGGGGAUCGAAGACGAUCAGAUACCGUCGUA